rnacentral:lncRNA from 1 species
CUCCCAAGAAAUUGAGGAUGACUUCUCACCUUCACAAGUCCUAAGGAGCUGCGACUUAAGAAUGCUGACUUCCGGGGGGGGAAUCAGAAUGGAAUGUUGUCAAAUUCUAGUGCCCUGAGUUGGGGGGUGGUGGAUAUACCCCCUGGAAAAGGUACUGCAAAAAGGUGCAUGCUUAUCCUGCCUUAUCACAACUCAUUCCAGAAUUUUCUCUUCUGCUCCAGGAGAGAAGCCAAAUAAGCUGGUCACAUUUGCUCACCCUUGCUUAUGGCCUGGGAGGGCCACCGUUCCAGAGUGGACCCUCACCAUACACAGGCACUCUAGCACUGAGACCAUCUGUCUUCUCCAGAGUUCAAGUGUCGUUCAAGAAUUCACUGAUAGCAGGGGAAGGAUCUCUUGAUAACCCUAAUGGGUUUCUCAGUUGCCAACCAAGAUCUGAAAAACCUUAAACAAUUACAGAGAAAUCUGGAUUCUUCAAACAAAUGUGAGUGGCAAAAAUUUGCCCACGAAAAGUUUUAAGAUGUAUAUGAACAGAAAAUGUGCAUUUCACCCAAU